rnacentral:misc_RNA from 1 species
UAUAUAUAUAUAUAUAUAUAUGUGGAAUAGUUGUAAAGGUAACCAGUUUAAGGGAGAGACUCCUAGUUUCUUCCAGUUGUAAGUUUUAUUAAUUUUUUCAGUAAUUUCAUUACUCCUUUGCCAUGAGGAUUUUUCUGCUCUUAUUGAAACCAUGUCAAUGGGGGAUUAUUGAAUUUUACAUUGGCUGUUAACCUACUUUAACCCUCUACCUUUAUCCAGCUUUGUUAAAGAGGAAGGACUGGAGAAGUGUGUUAGUAGCCAAUAAGUUAAAGAAAAUGUUGGGUUUGAUGAGUUUUUAUUUCUUGUAGUGAUGUUGUUUGUAGUUCUCGGAUUGGUGAUUGACUCCUUUAUAGCCUGUAACUAGAAGAAAUGUGAGGUCAGUAGAUUGAGUAGUGUCACUCCGAUGCUCAAGUCAGUAAAUGUCUG